CCUUCGGGAGCUGUUACAGGUGUUGCAUGGCUGUCGUCAGCUCGUGUCGUGAGAUGUUCCGGUUAAGUCCGCUAACGAGCGCAACCCGCGUUGUGUGUUACAAGUGUCACACAAUACCGCCGGUAUUAAGUCGGAGGAAGGUGCGGAUGACGUCAAGUCAGCAUGACCUUUAUAUCCAGGGCUACACACACGCUACAAUGGUCAGCACAAUAGGUUGCCAAGUCGUGAGACGGAGCCAAUCCUCCAAAGCUGGCCUCAGUUCAGAUUGUAGGCUGCAACCCGCCUGCAUGAAGUUGGAGUUGCUAGUAACCGCAGGUCAGCUAUACUGCGGUGAAUACGUUCCCGGGAUU
rnacentral:rRNA from 1 species